rnacentral:lncRNA from 1 species
GAUACCAAAACCUUUCCACGUAAACCCACAACAAAGAAUCAUCAAGUCCAACUCAUGGUAAAACAGGUCUAAAAAUAAUUCCUCCUCUACAACCACCACCUCCUCCUCCACCACCUCCUCCUCCACCACGGCCUAGAAAGAGGAUCUCUAAAGUCUCUUCCAACAAUAAUGAUUCAAUGUAUCCUCAUCCACCACAUAGAACCAUGGAAUAUCCCCUGUUGGAAGGGACCUAUAAGGAUCAUCAAUCCAACUCCUAGUAUCACAGGUCUAAAAAUAAUUCCUCCUCCAAAAACACCACCUACUCUAUGACAACCACCUGCACCAACACCAAAAACUAGAACGAUGACCUUAAACUCUUCCAAAAAUAAUGAUUGUAUGUGUCCUCCUCCACCACAUAGAAUCAUGGAAUAUCCCGAGUUGGAAGGGACACAUAAGGAUCAUCAAAUCCAACUCAUGGUACCACAGGUCUAAAAAUAAUUCCUCCACCACCAGCACCGCCUCCUGCACCACCGCUAGAACAAUGAUGUUUAAAGUCUCUUCCAACAAUAAUGAUUCUAUGUCUCCUCCUCCACCACAUAGAAUCAUGGAAUAUCCACAGUUGGAUGAGAAACCAAAGGAUCAUCAAGUAAAACUCAUGGUACCAGAGGUCUAA